GGGAGUAACAGACGGGUGAGUAACGCGUGGGAACAUGCCCUCUGGUUCGGAACAACCCCGGGAAACUGGGGCUAAGACCGGAUACGCCCUUUGGGGGAAAGGCCUUGGUUGCCGGAGGAGUGGCCCGCGUCCGAUUAGCUUGAUGGCGGGGUAACGGCCCACCAUGGCUUCGAUCGGUAGCUGGUCUGAGAGGAUGGCCAGCCACAUUGGGACUGAGACACGGCCCAAACUCCUACGGGAGGCAGCAGUGGGGAAUAUUGGACAAUGGGCGCAAGCCUGAUCCAGCCAUGCCGCGUGAGUGAUGACGGCCUUAGGGUUGUAGAGCUCUUUCGCGCACGACGAUAAUGACGGUAGUGCGAGAAGAAGCCCCGGCUAACUUCGUGCCAGCAGCCGCGGUAAU
rnacentral:rRNA from 1 species